rnacentral:rRNA from 1 species
CCUACGGGAGGCAGCAGUGAGGAAUAUUGGUCAAUGGACGAGAGUCUGAACCAGCCAAGUAGCGUGAAGGAUGACUGCCCUAUGGGUUGUAAACUUCUUUUAUAUGGGAAUAAAAUGUUCCACGUUUGGGAUUUUGUAUGUACCAUAUGAAUAAGGAUCGGCUAACUCCGUGCCAGCAGCCGCGGUAAUACGGAGGAUCCGAGCGUUAUCCGGAUUUAUUGGGUUUAAAGGGAGCGUAGGUGGAUUGUUAAGUCAGUUGUGAAAGUUUGCGGCUCAACCGUAAAAUUGCAGUUGAAACUGGCAGUCUUGAGUACAGUAGAGGUGGGCGGAAUUCGUGGUGUAGCGGUGAAAUGCUUAGAUAUCACGAAGAACUCCGAUUGCGAAGGCAGUUCACUGGACUGCAACUGACACGGAGGCUCGAAAGUGUGGGUAUCAAACAGGAUUAGAUACCCUUGUAGUC